rnacentral:snRNA from 1 species
GUACUUGGCUGUGUAUAUACUAAAAUUGGAAUGAGAGAAGGCUAUCAUGGCUUCUGCAUGAGAAUUACACAUAAAUUUGUGAAGAAUUCCAUAUUCUU